rnacentral:lncRNA from 1 species
GUGAAUUCAAAUACCGUGCAGUCCGUGAUUUCUAAAUUUAAAUAGUAUCCUUUUCAUUCUCCUACAAAUAGGAUUCUUAGUUAGAAUUGAGAAUCACACCAAAAUCAGAGAAUUCUUCUUCUAUAAUAUUAAGCGUAUUUCUAUAGAGUUUUAAAAAGCUUUGAGCGUAGAAAAUAGUGAAAGUUUUCUUCAAGAAUAUUUCCGCACUACCAGUCGGAAUACUCUUCUUUUUAAGGUAAGGGAUAUUAUUUUUGUUCAAUA